UUAAUCCUCGCUUCAGGGCUUAAGCGCACCUUUGACAACACUGCUAGUGGGGUCUGGGAAGGGUAGUAUGUACGCAGACCUUGCCCCUACCCGAAGGGGUAGAGAGGCUGUUUCCGAAAGACCCUCGGCUCAAGAAGACAAAAAGACAGAAGAGAGAAAAUCGUCAAUUAGAAAUCCGUCGGUUUCUCACAACUUGAGCAUACAUCAUCAAGAGAGAAACAUGAUUGGAUGACUCUAAGGGGAUAGAUUCUUAUCUACAAGCUGCAUAGAUAACUCACGUGCCAGGAUAACUCAUCCCGCACGGGCCACUCACGUGUUGCCGAUCCAGUCCCUCACACAGAAGGCAUAUACAAGAAUACAUGUAUAUGAAUAAUGGAUAUCAAAUCGCAUGUUCAUGGACAGAAGAAUAUAGCAUGCUAAGGUGUAUGCAUGUGCGAGUGUAUAGCUACAACUCAAAUCAGGCGGAUACGCCGUACAACAACAAACAUCAUGCUCAGUAGUAAAUCAACACCUACACAUGAUCUCGACAUGAUUUUACGGAGUACAAACCUUUAAAGCAUGAUAGCACGAGACACAAUAUUCAAAUAAAGGUAGAGUUCUGCCUAAACACUACCCCGAUCAUG
rnacentral:lncRNA from 1 species